rnacentral:rRNA from 1 species
CCCUUAGAUGUUCUGGGCCGCACGCGCGCUACACUGACGAAUGCAACGAGCUUAUAACCUUGGCCGAAAGGUCUGGGUAAUCUCCAAAUUUCGUCGUGAUGGGGAUAGAUUAUUGCAAUUAUUAAUCUUCAACGAGGAAUGCCUAGUAAGCGCAAGUCAUCAGCUUGCGUUGAUUACGUCCCUGCCCUUUGUACACACCGCCCGUCGCACCUACCGAUUGAAUGGUCCGGUGAAAUCUCGGGACGGCGGCUUGGUCGCUUGCGUCCGACUGCUGAAACUUGAUUAAACCAUNUNAUUUAGNGGAAGGUGAANUCGUANCA